rnacentral:snRNA from 1 species
AUACUUACCUGGACGGGGUCAAUGGGCGAUCAAUAAGACCCAUGGCGUAGGUUGGUGACCUCCAUUGCACUUUGGAGGGGUGCCUGCCUAAGGUUGGCCCAAGUGGUCGAGCCUACGUCAUAAUUUGUGGCAGCGGGGGCCUCCGUUCGUGCGGCCCUUA